GUUUGUGACUUUAGCUACGUAUCACUAUGCCACAUACUGUGAAAUUUAUGAGUUACUUAGCCUUAAAAAGAAAACUAUGGGGAGAGAAGGGGAGAUGAAUUAUAGUGAACCCUCUGAAGAACUGCUAGACACAGGAAUCCAAAAAGCCAACAUUAACAACACUGCUGGCUUGUGUAUGUAUACUGUGGUUGUUAGAGCAUUUAGUUAUUUAGAUAGUUAAAUAGCCUAAACAGGAAUAUGGGCUUGCCAGUAGCUUACCACAAGAGUGCCUGCAUAGCAAGUGUGGGGCUCUGGGUUAAAAAAGAACAUGGCACAUUGGGGCAAAGUUGUGAGGAACCUGCUAGUUAUAUGUGGGAAGGCUAAAGCACUGUUUGUGGUGUUACUACUAGGUCACAGGCAAUACAGUGA